rnacentral:rRNA from 1 species
UGAGGAAUAUUGGUCAAUGGUCGGGAGACUGAACCAGCCAAGCCGCGUGAGGGAUGAAGGUACAGAGUAUCGUAAACCUCUUUUGUCAGGGAACAAAAGGCGCCACGUGUGGCGCUCCGAGUGUACCUGAAGAAAAAGCAUCGGCUAACUCCGUGCCAGCAGCCGCGGUAAUACGGAGGAUGCGAGCGUUAUCCGGAUUUAUUGGGUUUAAAGGGUGCGUAGGCGGCGAGUUAAGUCAGCGGUAAAAGCCCGGGGCUCAACCCCGGCCCGCCGUUGAAACUGGCUUGCUUGAGUUGGAGAGAAGUAGGCGGAAUGCGCGGUGUAGCGGUGAAAUGCUUAGAUAUCGCGCAGAACUCCGAUUGCGAAGGCAGCCUACCGGCUCCACACUGACGCUGAGGCACGGAAGCGUGGGUAUCGAACAGGAUUAGAUACC